rnacentral:snRNA from 1 species
AUACUUACCUGGCAGGGGAGAUACCAUGAUCACAAAGGUGGUUUUCCCAGGGCGAGGCUUAUCCAGUGCACUCCGGAUGUGCUGACCCCUGCGAUUUCCCCAAAUGUGGGGGGGAAAAAAGAGUAUAUGAAAU